rnacentral:lncRNA from 1 species
GGUGGAACUGGGAGGAAAGGGUCCAGGUCAGACUAACCCAGGACUAGCACAGAACUCCAGGAAUUACAACAGAUAUCCACCAUUUGACUUCCUGUAAGUCUCAUAAGGUUGCCACUCAAAAGACCUCACUUGCUCUCCAGUGAAAGAGCUGUACACACCACCUGAGCAAGGCCAGCGAGACCGACUCUCCCAAGAAGAUGAACUAUCCAUGAACCCAGAUGGUCCUUUGUGACUUUCUCGACUAACAGAGCACAGGAGAAGUGACACGAUAUGACUUCUGAGGCUAGCUUAUACAAAUGUCAUGCAUUUCUACCUCGUGCUUUGAGGAUACUCGCUGUUGCAACCCAGUCACCGUGCUGUAAAGAAGCCCAAACAGCUACUUGGAGAGACAUCGGGUACCACAGAGCCUCACCCAAGAUCUCAGCUGACAGCCAGCAUCAACCGCCAGACAUAUGAGUGCACAAGCUUUCAAAUGAUUCCAGCCUUCAGCCGCCAAGUCACCCUCAGGCUUUGAGCCCUUUCCAGCUGAGGUUCCAGACAUCCUGGAACAGAGACAAGGCAUCCCCACUGAGCCCUUCCUGAUUUCUGAUACACAGAAUCCAUAAACACAAUAAGAUGGUUGUUAUUUAUACUGCUGUGUUUAGGCUGGUUUGUUACUCAACAGUAGUAACUGGAAUGGGUCAUCACUGGAGAAGAGAAUGAAGAAUGAGACCUGGAGGAGUCCUAAUAUAUUAAGAUUUGCCAAGGGGCUGCAAUCCCUCACCUGAACUCCUUGGAUCCUGUGAAGUACCACCACCCUCGCUUCUGUAUCUCACGGUGUCAAAGAGCUCUCACCACAGCGUAUCACCAAGCCUUUACCUGGGAAUUGUGUGUAUCCAUCUCCAGCCAGUGGCAGGGCUGGGAAUACCAUUUGGCAAUGUGUUGCUGUGAAGGAAACAAAGUGAUCAAAUAAAGAAUGACUGAAGGGAGGGGUGGAAAGUGACCUGUGUUAGAAAUCACAACAGAAAACGCCUCUAGGAUGAGGUGGCAUUAAAGCUGAAACAAGAGGAUGAGAAGAAGCAAACCUGAAAAAGAGGAAGAAUAACACCAAUGCAAGAAGCAACUCCCUACCCAAAAGCCCACAGCUACCAGAGGAUGCUCCAGUGAUGCUGCCUAACAGUGAUAUGUAUGUGAUACCUGCUAUGUACUAACAAAUGAGACAUUCAAAGGGAUCCUUUGUUCCCAAGAGACAUAAAUAUACGAA